rnacentral:rRNA from 1 species
AUUGAACGCUGGCGGCAGGCCUAACACAUGCAAGUCGAGCGGAUGAAGGGAGCUUGCUCCUGGAUUCAGCGGCGGACGGGUGAGUAAUGCCUAGGAAUCUGCCUGGUAGUGGGGGAUAACGUCCGGAAACGGGCGCUAAUACCGCAUACGUCCUGAGGGAGAAAGUGGGGGAUCUUCGGACCUCAAGCUAUCAGAUGAGCCUAGGUCGGAUUAGCUAGUUGGUGGGGUAAAGGCCUACCAAGGCGACGAUCCGUAACUGGUCUGAGAGGAUGAUCAGUCACACUGGAACUGAGACACGGUCCAGACUCCUACGGGAGGCAGCAGCGGGGAAUAUUGGACAAUGGGCGAAAGCCUGAUCCAGCCAUGCCGCGUGUGUGAAGAAGGUCUUCGGAUUGUAAAGCACUUUAAGUUGGGAGGAAGGGCAGUAAGUUAAUACCUUGCUGUUUUGACGUUACCAACAGAAUAAGCACCGGCUAACUUCGUG